AGAGCGAACGCUGGCGGCAGGCCUAACACAUGCAAGUCGAACGGACCCUUCGGGGUUAGUGGCGGACGGGUGAGUAACACGUGGGAACGUGCCUUUUGGUUCGGAAUAGCUCCUGGAAACGGGUGGUAAUGCCGAAUGUGCCCUUCGGGGGAAAGAUUUAUCGCCAUUAGAGCGGCCCGCGUCUGAUUAGCUAGUUGGUGAGGUAAUGGCUCACCAAGGCGACGAUCAGUAGCUGGUCUGAGAGGAUGACCAGCCACAUUGGGACUGAGACACGGCCCAAACUCCUACGGGAGGCAGCAGUGGGAAUCUUGCGCAAUGGGCGAAAGCCUGACGCAGCCAUGCCGCGUGAAUGAUGAAGGUCUUAGGAUUGUAAAUUCUUUCACCGGGACGAUAAUGACGGUACCCGGAGAAGAAGCCCCGGCUAACUUCGUCGCCAGCGAGCCGC
rnacentral:rRNA from 1 species